rnacentral:rRNA from 1 species
UACGUAGGUCCCGAGCGUUGUCCGGAUUUAUUGGGCGUAAAGCGAGCGCAGGUGGUUUAUUAAGUCUGGUGUAAAAGGCAGUGGCUCAACCAUUGUAUGCAUUGGAAACUGGUAGACUUGAGUGCAGGAGAGGAGAGUGGAAUUCCAUGUGUAGCGGUGAAAUGCGUAGAUAUAUGCAGGAACACCGGUGGCGAAAGCGGCUCUCUGGCCUGUAACUGACACUGAGGCUCGAAAGCGUGGGGAGCAAACAGG